UGUCAUUCGAAACCGCAGCGCGUCAUUUUCGUGUUUACCGUUAUCUAACAAUUCCUCAAAUUUUUUAAAUUUUCGAUUACUUUCUGUAGUCGAGCCAUCAGUGCGAAAUCAAUCAAAACUAUUUUUACUCACUGAGCUUCGUAAAAGGGCAACACUGCACUAGCUAGUUCUCACGAUCCGUCACGGUCACGGAAGUUCGUCUGCACUCCGCAAUGUAAAAGUUGUUAAGGCGGCAACACGCAACAGGCAAGUGAGACGACAUGCCACAGGACAUAAGAUGGUUAUCAGCGGAUCGGUAUACUGUUGCUAAGUUUCAAUCAUUGAGAUGUUUGAUUGUAGUGAGUAUUUUGCAAAUGAGUCCGUUCACGUAAAUGUUUGCAGUUGAUUCCCGAUUGUGCGUUACCCACGGGUUUCCAUGUUACCCUCUAACGUGGUGACCAACAGCCCAUGUGCCCAGAUCACAUUGGUGCCACAAGUGAGAAUCAGACUCUGGAAUCUUCGGAUCACCAACGGCAUCGGCGCGAAUGCUGAUUCAUUGUAAAUCGCAUCUUUGACGAAAAAACUAACAUCCGGGAAGAAAUUGUCUUCGUGAGAAAUCAGAAAAGAUGUCGAAAGCUCCUUCGUCAUAUUCAAGUUGGGUAUGGAUAUGCGGCACAAGACGCAUGUCAACCAGUACACGAGCAAUUCACUUGAGCUCUAAUAUGGUAGACAAGCUUGAGGUUAAAAUAGAAUGCAAGUUACAACUACACCGACGUCGUAUAACCGGAUCUUUGCCAUCUCAAUCGGAAUGAUCAGAUUAUGCCGUCAUUUGUCAUGAGGAUGGAGCAGCCAGGAGUUUCGGGGCACCACCGGUCAUCACGGUCCUUUGUUGGGCCUUCGGAUAGAUAAGGUAUUAAAGUAUUAAACAAAUGGAGUUCACUUGCAGGUGAGAAUCCAUUCCCCCCCCCCUCUUUAGCUUUAAUUCUUGCUGUUACUUCAUUUGCAUCCCCAUUUUUUGCCCCUUUUCGCAGUGAAUUAUCUUUGUGUUUUUCACCUGUUUCCUCUCUGGGAAGGCUGUAACUCUUUUUGAAUGAGAAGAUACGGGUGCCGCAAAUCACAAGACAUGUUUUACUUGUUAUUUCGUCACCUGCUGUAGUAAAGUGCCAUUUCCCAGUCUAUUGGGGUGCGGUCAUGAAUGUAAGGUUUCAGCUUUGCCGACAUCUCUUUGUUACUUAAGGUCAACCUUGAUUGCGUCAAUCAAGGAGUUAUAGUCUAGCGAGAGUUACUGCGAAUUGAACAAAUGCGCCGAGUGAAAAUAGCACCGUUAGCUUAAUCGGUUGGUAUCCGUUGGUAUCCCAAUAUUGAAUCUUUUUUCGAGAAAACUGCAGGGGAAAUUUGUCGUUUCUGAAAGCCUGUUAGAAGAUUUAGAAAAUAAAACUUAAUUCCGGUGCAAUUAAAACUCAGAAGACUAUUUUUAAUUGGGAAAACAAGCAAUUUUAAGAAAGAAAGGAUAACAUUUUACCUUAUUUUUUUCAUUUAACUUGCCAUGGACUGGAGAAACCAGCUGACUUUGGAACUCUUUGUUUCGCUUUCAAAAAGCUCUUUAUUCAAAUAUUCAACACAUAUAACACGCAAAUUGAAAAGCAUAUUUUAGCAGUGCUUUUGCUUAUGAAGUUUGCAUAUGCACUGAGCGCACAAAUAAUGAAACAGAGUAUUUGAUUUACCCUGGCGUACGUAACAUGUGGGUUACAAAAUCCCUUGCUCUUUCAGUCUCUCUUUCGACUUGUUUUCAUUAAGAAUAAUCAUGUUUUAAUUUUACUAUGUAUAACAUUGGUACCUGUGCAAUCUGCGGUAAAUAGCAUAUAACGAAACGCAUACACACGGUAUACUGAUGAUUAUACGAAUUAUGCAUUUGAUAAUUUCAUACGUAUAAGGUAUGACAAUGAAAGUAGCUUCACAAUUCCGUUUAUAAUGGACGAUUUAACAUGGUAUCAUCGUAUCGAGUUUUAUCAACACAUUAACUUUAAAGAGCAAAAUUGGGAUUGUACUAUGUCGCGUGAUACUGUAUUAUAAUUCUCAUAGUUCUCAAUUUCGUUCCUUAUUUAACUAAUAAAGAACAAAAAAAAACUAGAAAUUUAUAUACAUAUAUAUGUAUAUAUAUUUGUUAUCUUAGAGCCUCUUCUUUCUAUAUUUGAACAGAUUUCACGGGAAACAGUGAACUGGGAAUAAGAUUUCAAUCGAGUAAAAUCGUAUUUUUAGGGAUCAGGUACAUCCAUUACAUUUUCCGGACACAUAAUUUGCGUUUUUUUUUUGUUGUUGAUUUGGGGGUGCAAAACGUAUAUAGCUACACCUGGUUUCAAUAGAUCACAUAUGAUUUUUAAAAAUGCACACUUAACAACGAAUCAACGCUGAUUUAAAAAACAAACAAAAUAAAAACAAAGUUUUCUUUUUCAUUUGAGACUUUGGAUUCGUAAACUUACACCCAAACCGUGAACUCUACCUACUAAUAGCUGACGUCGUUCUUCAGGUGUUUUAUGAUUCACAUAACAGACGAGUGAUCACCAAAAUCCUAAGGAUCGUGUACCCAAAAUCUUAAGGCAAUGGCCAAG